rnacentral:other from 1 species
AUGAUGCACGUUGCGUGUCAAUGCGGUUUUUAUAAUCCAACACUUUUUUAAAGGGAAUUUAGCUCUGGAUUUGGAUUGCAGACCUCCCGCUUUGCGGACGAAGGGAGCGUGAAGGAUACAGGCGGAUACCCACCUUGCUAUUUUAGCUUGGUUUUAUGUGCCGCAUGACGGCAAGGCGGUUUAUUU